rnacentral:rRNA from 1 species
GACGAACGCUGGCGGCGUGCUUAACACAUGCAAGUCGAACGGAAAGGCCCUGCUUUUGUGGGGUGCUCGAGUGGCGAACGGGUGAGUAACACGUGAGUAACCUGCCCUUGACUUUGGGAUAACUUCAGGAAACUGGGGCUAAUACCGGAAGGAGCUCCUGCUGCAUGGUGGGGGUUGGAAAGUUUCGGCGGUUGGGGAUUGACUCGCGGCUUAUCAGCUUGUUGGUGGGGUAGUGGCUUACCAAGGCUUUGACGGGUAGCCGGCCUGAGAGGGUGACCGGCCACAUUGGGACUGAGAUACGGCCCAGACUCCUACGGGAGGCAGCAGUGGGGAAUAUUGCACAAUGGGCGGAAGCCUGAUGCAGCAACGCCGCGUGCGGGAUGACGGCCUUCGGGUUGUAAACCGCUUUCGCCUGUGACGAAGCGUGAGUGACGGUAAUGGGUAAAGAAGCACCGGCUAACUACGUG